rnacentral:lncRNA from 1 species
ACCAGCUGGAAGGGCUGCAGCAAGUCUAGGACACUGUGACGCAGAGUGCAGCCUUCAGAACGGAAGACCUGCAAGAGGACUCCAGUGCAACACAUCUGCUCUUCCACUUCAAUGAGACAAAUGUCAGAUUAGCUGCCGUCAGCAGCUUGCAGCAAACUCAGGGUGAUCAAGGAAGUGAAGUCAUAAGUCCCUGUACAGAGGAGGUGAAAUGCCACAUUCUUCCAGGAGGCCCAUCUGUAUCCAGAUCCCCUGAAAGCUACUCAGAAACCUUCAAAGGACCAUCAGAACGCACUUUGAGAACCACUGUGAUGGAUAAGCCUUCAGAGGCGUUUCCCUGCGAUUCCCACUGCACUCUAAUCCACUGGCUUUCCGCACAAGGGCAGCUCCAACAAGGAACCCAACCAGAGUUGAGGGAAAUUCAAGUUUGGGCAGUUGACCAGAGGUGCUGACUGGGUCCACGGCAGCUGCAUUCUUCAGGACCUGCACUGGCCGUCAUCAUUCCAGGACACAAGAAAGACCCCGCCAGACUGUCCCCGAUGGAAGUUUGGCUGUGGUCACCAUGCAUUGCCUCCUAUAGAGCCUGCCUAUUUUCCAUGUCUGAUUCUUCAGCUCUUCUGGCAAUUCUGUAAAUUACCCAAAAUCCUUUCAAUAAAAUCUAUUUAUGAUUAAA